rnacentral:rRNA from 1 species
GACGAACGCUGGCGGCGUGCUUAACACAUGCAAGUCGAACGGACAGGCCCUGCUUUUGUGGGGUGCUCGAGUGGCGAACGGGUGAGUAACACGUGAGUAACCUGCCCUUGACUUUGGGAUAACUUCAGGAAACUGGGGCUAAUACCGGAUAGGAGCUCCUGCUGCAUGGUGGGGGUUGGAAAGUUUCGGCGGUAGGGGAUGGACUCGCUGGUUAUCAGCUUGAUGGUGGGGUAGUGGCUUACCAAGGCUUUGACGGGUAGCCGGCCUGAGAGGGUGAACGGCCACAUUGGGCCUGAGGGACGGACCAGACUCGUACGGUAGGCAGUAGUGGGGAAUCUUGCACAACGGGCGGAAGCGUGAGGCAGAAAUGCCCCGUGCGGGAUGCCGGCUUUCGGGUUGUAAACCGCUUUGGCCUGUGACGAAGCGUGAGUGACGGUAACGGGUAAAGAAGCACCGGCUAACUACGUG